AACGAACGCUGGCGGCGCGCCUAAUACAUGCAAGUCGAGCGAGAAGACGUAGCAAUACGUUUGUAAAGCGGCGAACGGGUGAGGAAUACAUGGGUAACCUACCCUCGAGUGGGGAAGUAACUAGCCGAAAGGUUAAGCUAAUACCGCGUACGCUCCUUGGACUUCGGUUCAGGGAGGGAAAGCGAUACCGUGGGUAUCGCGCUCUUGGAUGGGAUCAUGUCCUAUCAGCUUGUUGGUGAGGAACGGCUCACCAAGGCUUCGACGGGUAGCUGGUCUGAGAGGACGAUCAGCCACACUGGCACUGCGACACGGGCCAGACUCCUACGGGAGGCAGCAGUAAGGAAUAUUGCGCAAUGGGCGAAAG
rnacentral:rRNA from 1 species